GUCGAACGGUAGAGGGGGCAACCCCUUGAGAGUGGCGAACGGGUGAGUAAUGUAUCGGAACGUGCCCAGUCGUGGGGGAUAACGUAGUGAAAAUUACGCUAAUACCGCAUACGAUCUAAGGAUGAAAGCGGGGGAUCGCAAGACCUCGCGCGAUUGGAGCGGCCGAUAUCAGAUUAGGUAGUUGGUAGGGUAAAGGCCUACCAAGCCAACGAUCUGUAGCUGGUCUGAGAGGACGACCAGCCACACUGGAACUGAGACACGGUCCAGACUCCUACGGGAGGCAGCAGUGGGGAAUUUUGGACAAUGGGCGAAAGCCUGAUCCAGCCAUUCCGCGUGCAGGAUGAAGGCCCUCGGGUUGUAAACUGCUUUUGUACAGAACGAAAAGGUCUCUAUUAAUACUAGGGGCUCAUGACGGUACUGUAAGAAUAAGCACCGGCUAACUACGUGCCAGCAGCCGCGGUAAUACGUAGGGUGCAAGCGUUAAUCGGAAUUACUGGGCGUAAAGCGUGCGCAGGCGGUUAUAUAAGUCAGAUGUGAAAUCCCCGGGCUCAACCUGGGAACUGCAUUUGAGACUGUAUAGCUAGAGUACGGUAGAGGGGGAUGGAAUUCCGCGUGUAGCAGUGAAAUGCGUAGAUAUGCGGAGGAACACCGAUGGCGAAGGCAAUCCCCUGGACCUGUACUGACGCUCAUGCACGAAAGCGUGGGGAGCAAACAGGAUUAGAUACCCUGGUAGUCCACGCCCUAAACGAU
rnacentral:rRNA from 1 species